GUGGCGCACGGGUGCGUAACGCGUAUGCAACCUACCUUAAUCAGGGGGAUAGCCCGAAGAAAUUCGGAUUAACACCGCAUAAAAACACAGGAUAGCAUUAUCCAAUGUUCAAAUAUUUAUAGGAUUAAGAUGGGCAUGCGUGUCAUUAGCUAGUUGGCGGGGUAACGGCCCACCAAGGCGACGAUGACUAGGGGAUCUGAGAGGAUGACCCCCCACACUGGUACUGAGACACGGACCAGACUCCUACGGGAGGCAGCAGUAAGGAAUAUUGGUCAAUGGAGGCAACUCUGAACCAGCCAUGCCGCGUGCAGGAAGACAGCCCUCUGGGUCGUAAACUGCUUUUAUUCGGGAAUAAACCUACUUACGUGUAAGUAGCUGAAUGUACCGAAGGAAUAAGGAUCGGCUAACUCCGUGCCAGCAGCCGCGGUAAUACGGAGGAUCCAAGCGUUAUCCGGAUUUAUUGGGUUUAAAGGGUGCGUAGGCGGCCUGUUAAGUCAGGGGUGAAAGACGGUAGCUCAACUAUCGCAGUGCCCUUGAUACUGAUGGGCUUGAAUGAACUAGAGGUAGGCGGAAUGUGACAAGUAGCGGUGAAAUGCAUAGAUAUGUCACAGAACACCGAUUGCGAAGGCAGCUUACUAUGGUUUUAUUGACGCUGAGGCACGAAAGCGUGGGGAUCAAACAGGAUUAGAUACCCUGGUAGUCCACGCCCUAAACGAUGAAUACUCGCUGUUAGCGAUAUACAGUUAGCGGCUAAGCGAAAGCGUUAAGUAUUCCACCUGGGGAGUACGCCCGCAAGGGUGAAACUCAAAGGAAUUGACGGGGGCCCGCACAAGCGGAGGAGCAUGUGGUUUAAUUCGAUGAUACGCGAGGAACCUUACCCGGGCUUGAAAGUUAGUGAAUUAUCCAGAGAUGGAUAAGUGAGCAAUCACACGAAACUAGGUGCUGCAUGGCUGUCGUCAGCUCGUGCCGUGAGGUGUUGGGUUAAGUCCCGCAACGAGCGCAACCCCUAUGUUUAGUUGCCAGCACGUUAAGGUGGGGACUCUAAACAGACUGCCUGUGCAAACAGAGAGGAAGGAGGGGACGACGUCAAGUCAUCAUGGCCCUUACGUCCGGGGCUACACACGUGCUACAAUGGAUGGUACAGAGGGCAGCAAGCUGGCAACAGCAAGCAAAUCUCAAAAAGCCAUUCACAGUUCGGAUAGAGGUCUGCAACUCGACCUCUUGAAGUUGGAUUCGCUAGUAAUCGCGUAUCAGCAAUGACGCGGUGAAUACGUUCCCGGGCCUUGUACACACCGCCCGCCAAGCC
rnacentral:rRNA from 1 species